rnacentral:rRNA from 1 species
UACGGAGGAUGCGAGCGUUAUCCGGAUUUAUUGGGUUUAAAGGGUGCGUAGGCGGGAAAAUAGGUCAGUGGUGAAAUCCUACAGCUUAACUGUAGAAUUGCCGUUGAUACUGUUUUUCUUGAGUAUGGUCAAGGAAGGCGGAAUGUGUAAUGUAGCGGUGAAAUGCUUAGAUAUUACACAGAACACCAAUUGCGAAGGCAGCUUUCUGGCCCAUUACUGACGCUGAGGCACGAAAGCGUGGGGAUCGAACAGGAUUAGAUACCCCUGUAGU